UACACGGAAACGACCCUGAUGUGGACUACAACUACCAGAAGGACGUCAGAGCUCUCAAAGCAUUCUGGGACUUGAAUUUUCUCCAACGCUGCCAUCUGAGGAGGGGAGCCCACAGCGGCCCUCUCUCCCUUGGGAUACCGUGAGAAUACCGUCUCCAAAAAUAGAGGUCUCCUCCUCUCCUUCCAACCAGCUCCUCCAGGCAACACAGACAUGGCAACAGUUAGAGGAUCCUUUAAUGCUGUAGCCAAGAUUGUAAAAAUACUGACGUCAAGUCCCCUCUGCCAUUCCAAUUUUCCUGGCUCUGGCACAGGAAAGUGACCGCUCUUAAUCCUGCCUACAAAGCUCCGGAUACUGAGUCAGAGGUCUAGAACUUGAUGCAAGAACUCGUCACGACAACAUUAGUGACUUUUCAUGACGACACCUGACCUGUUAACCAGGGCUCACGCGCCCACCUGAUAUCCUCAGACUGCAAAUUACGUCUCUCGACAUUUUAGUCCAAAAUCAGUGGGAUUCUCACGUCAGCCACGUCAGACUGCAGGGUCACUGGUUUGACUUUUACUCAAAACUCACUGUGCCCAGACCUCACUCCCACUCAUUUCCAUUACUCACCACUUAUUUAUACUGGUUUCACUUAUCAUAUGAAGGCCAGAACUGAUUGAAGCCACAUUAUUAACAUGUGCACAGAUGACAUAGGUUACAGCGCAUGUUCAAAAAAGCCGAAGUUGAGAUAAUUUCUUCAGUCAACUUUGUCCUGAGCAGUGGGGUCACCCAAAGGAUGAAAGGACCAUAUCUUUUUUAUUGCAUCUGCGACCUCCCUCUGUUACAGUGCACUUCUUCUUUCUUGCUACCAGACUUGUUUUCCGUCUGGCCCUGUAGAUAAUUAGUUGAAAUCAUUCUUUAUUUUUCCAGGUACA